rnacentral:rRNA from 1 species
CAGCCGCCGCGGUAAUACGUAGGUGGCAAGCGUUGUCCGGAUUUAUUGGGCGUAAAGCGAGCGCAGGCGGUCAAUUAAGUCUGAUGUGAAAGCCCCCGGCUCAACCGGGGAGGGUCAUUGGAAACUGGUUGACUUGAGUGCAGAAGAGGAGAGUGGAAUUCCAUGUGUAGCGGUGAAAUGCGUAGAUAUAUGGAGGAACACCAGUGGCGAAGGCGACUCUCUGGUCUGUAACUGACGCUGAGGCUCGAAAGCGUGGGUAGCAAACAGGAUUAGAUACCCGUGUAGUCCCUGUCUCUUAUAU